UCAAAGGGCCUAAAUACCCUAAAGGCAUCAGAUCCUGGUCUGACCUUGGAAGUUAAGCAGGGUCAGCCCUGGUUUGUAUAUGGAUGGGAGACUGAAAAUGAAUAUCAGGUGCUUUAGGUU
rnacentral:rRNA from 1 species